CCUUCGGGNGNNNAUUAAUNGCGAAAGGGUGAGUAACACGUGGGCAAUCUGCCCUUCACUCUGGGACAAGCCCUGGAAACGGGGUCUAAUACCGGAUACGACCUCCGACCGCAUGGUCUGGUGGUGGAAAGCUCCGGCGGUGAAGGAUGAGCCCGCGGCCUAUCAGCUUGUUGGUGGGGUGAUGGCCUACCAAGGCGACGACGGGUAGCCGGCCUGAGAGGGCGACCGGCCACACUGGGACUGAGACACGGCCCAGACUCCUACGGGAGGCAGCAGUGGGGAAUAUUGCACAAUGGGCGAAAGCCUGAUGCAGCGACGCCGCGUGAGGGAUGACGGCCUUCGGGUUGUAAACCUCUUUCAGCAGGGAAGAAGCGAGAGUGACGGUACCUGCAGAAGAAGCGCCGGCUAACUACGUGCCAGCAGCCGCGGUAAUACGUAGGGCGCAAGCGUUGUCCGGAAUUAUUGGGCGUAAAGAGCUCGUAGGCGGCUUGUCACGUCGGAUGUGAAAGCCCGGGGCUUAACCCCGGGUCUGCAUUCGAUACGGGCAGGCUAGAGUUCGGUAGGGGAGAUCGGAAUUCCUGGUGUAGCGGUGAAAUGCGCAGAUAUCANGANNNACACCGGUGGCGAANGCGGAUCUCUGGGNCGAUACUGACNCUGAGNANCNAAAGCGUGGGGAG
rnacentral:rRNA from 1 species